ACUAGAAUGAACGGCUAAAUGAGGAUCAAGCUGUCUCUUAUGAUUGGUCAAUGAAAUUGAUCUUCCAGUCCAAAAGCUGAAAUUUUUACAUAAGACGAGAAGACCCUGUGGAGCUUAAAAACCCCAUACAACAAUAUGCUUAGUGGUUUUUUAGUUGGGGCGACUUCGGAGCACAAAUCAACCUCCAAAACACAACUUAUUUAUAAGAUAAACACAUCAAAAUAAAUGUUCCAGACCCAGAAACCGUUUUCUGAUUAAUGAACCAAGUUACCCCAGGGAUAACAGCGCCAUCCCCUUCAAGAGUCCYUAUCGACAAGGGGGUUUACGACCUCGAUGUUGGAUCAGGACACCCAAAUAGUGCAGCCGCUAUUAAAG
rnacentral:rRNA from 1 species